rnacentral:lncRNA from 1 species
CUCUCUCCUUUCUCCUUGGUUUCUCCAAUUGAAGUCGAGGCCUCUCGCACCCAUGCUCAUCAGAAAUUGGAGCCGACGACAUUACUGAAGUCCGAGGAAAACACCAACCCUUCUUUCUCUCCUUCUUCCUUAUCUUCUCGUGGCCUUGGAUGCCGGCUUUAGCCAUCGGAUUUGCCGAAAAAUCAGCAAAAGUAAGAACCCCC